UACAGAGGUCUCAAGCGUUUGUUCGGAUUCAUUGGGGCGUAAAGGGUGCGUAGGCGGCGCGGUAGUCGGGUGUGAAAUCAUCGGAGCUUAACUCCGAAACUGCAUUCGAUACUGCCGUGCUUGAGGACUGGGAGAGGAGACUGGAAUUUACGGUGUAGCGGUGAAAUGCGUAGAUAUCGUAAGGAAGACCAGUGGGUGAA
rnacentral:rRNA from 1 species